UACGUAGGUGGCAAGCGUUGUCCGGAUUUAUUGGGUUUAAAGGGUGCGUAGGCGGUUCCAUAAGUCAGUGGUGAAAUGCGGCAGCUCAACUGUCGAGGUGCCAUUGAUACUGCGGAACUUGAGUGUUGAUGAGGCAGGCGGAAUUGACGGUGUAGCGGUGAAAUGCUUAGAUAUCGUCAAGAACACCGAUAGCGAAGGCAGCUUGCCAAGCAACAACUGACGCUCAGGCACGAAAGUGCGGGGAUCAAACAGG
rnacentral:rRNA from 1 species